rnacentral:tRNA from 1 species
GGCCUUAUCGUCUAACGGCUAGGACACGCCCCUCUCACGGGCGAAAUUCGGGUUCGAUUCCCGGUAAGGUCA